rnacentral:rRNA from 1 species
AGAGUGGAAUUCCCGGUGUAGUGGUGAAAUGCGUAGAUAUCGGGAGGAACACCAGUGGCGAAGGCGGCUCUCUGGGCCACUCCUGACGCUAAGACGCGAAAGCUAGGGGAGAAAACGGGAUUAGAAACCCCGGUAUUCCUAGCCGUAAACGAUGUCAACUAGGUGUAGGGGGUAUCCAACCCCCCUGUGCUGCAGCAAACGCGGUAAGUUGACCGCCUGGGGACUACGGCCGCAAGGCUAAAACUCAAAGGAAUUGACGGGGACCCGCACAAGCAGCGGAGCGUGUGGUUUAAUUCGAGGCUACGCGAAGAACCUUACCAGGGUUUGACAUGACGGUGGUAGGAAAGCGAAAGCUGACCGACCCUUCGGGGAGCCGCCACAGGUGCUGCAUGGCUGUCGUCAGCUCAUGCCGUGAGGUGUUAGGUUAAGUCCUGUAACGAGCGCAACCCUCGUCGUUAGUUAUACGUGUCUACCGAGACUGCCGGUGAUAAGCCGGAGGAAGGUGGGGAUGACGUCAAGUCAGCAUGGCCUUUAUAUCCUGGGCUACACACACGCUACAAUGGCCGGUACAAUGGGUUGCGAAACCGCGAGGUGGAGCCAAUCCUCCAGAGCCGGUCUCAGUUCGGAUUGUAGGCUGCAACUCGCCUGCAUGAAGUCAGAGUUGCUAGUAACCGCGCGUCAGCAACAGUGCGGUGAAUACGUUCCCGGGUCUUGUACACACCGCCCGUCACGUCAUGGAAGUUGGCAACGCCUGAAGUCAGUGAGCUAACCCUCGCGGGAGGCAACUGCCCAAGGCGGGGUCGGUAACUGGGACGAAGUCGUAACAAGGUAACC